CCUACACAUGCAGUCGAACGAAGGCUUCGGCCUUAGUGGCGCACGGGUGCGUAACGCGUGGGAAUCUGCCCUUGGGUUCGGAAUAACAGUUGGAAACGACUGCUAAUACCGGAUGAUGACGUAAGUCCAAAGAUUUAUCGCCCAAGGAUGAGCCCGCGUAGGAUUAGCUAGUUGGUGAGGUAAGAGCUCACCAAGGCGACGAUCCUUAGCUGGUCUGAGAGGAUGAUCAGCCACACUGGGACUGAGACACGGCCCAGACUCCUACGGGAGGCAGCAGUGGGGAAUAUUGGACAAUGGGCGAAAGCCUGAUCCAGCAAUGCCGCGUGAGUGAUGAAGGCCUUAGGGUUGUAAAGCUCUUUUACCCGGGAUGAUAAUGACAGUACCGGGAGAAUAAGCUCCGGCUAACUCCGUGCCAGCAGCCGCGGUAAUACGGAGGGAGCUAGCGUUAUUCGGAAUUACUGGGCGUAAAGCGCACGUAGGCGGCUUUGUAAGUUAGAGGUGAAAGCCUGGAGCUCAACUCCAGAAUUGCCUUUAAGACUGCAUCGCUUGAAUCCAGGAGAGGUGAGUGGAAUUCCGAGUGUAGAGGUGAAAUUCGUAGAUAUUCGGAAGAACACCAGUGGCGAAGGCGGCUCACUGGACUGGUAUUGACGCUGANGUGCGAAAGCGUGGGGAGCAACAGAUAG
rnacentral:rRNA from 1 species